UUCAACGGAGAGUUUGAUCCUGGCUCAGGACGAACGCUGGCGGCGUGCUUAACACAUGCAAGUCGAGCGGUAAGGCCCUUCGGGGUACACGAGCGGCGAACGGGUGAGUAACACGUGGGUGAUCUGCCUUGCACUCUGGGAUAAGCCUGGGAAACUGGGUCUAAUACCGGAUAUGAGCAGCCUUCGCAUGGGGGUUGUUGGAAAGAUUUAUCGGUGCGAGAUGGGCCCGCGGCCUAUCAGCUUGUUGGUGAGGUAACGGCUCACCAAGGCGACGACGGGUAGCCGGCCUGAGAGGGCGACCGGCCACACUGGGACUGAGACAC
rnacentral:rRNA from 1 species